ACUAGAUUUUCACCGAAAACGCUAAACCUCGGCUGAGAACAGCUGGUGAGAUUACAUGGAGAAGCUGUGACAUCAUGGGAUCUUGUGAAUGGGUGAUUACAUCUCCAAAGGAUAAGUAAGGAAGACCAGAAGCUGUGUGCGUUUUUAACACCUUGUUUAAUAAUUGCACCUAAUACCUGAGAUGAUGUCUGGGCAGGAUUACAGACACACAAGGGUUUCUGUCAAGUUGAUCAAAAUGCGAAGCAAGCAGUUGAGAUAAGCCAUGCCAGGUUCCUGUGUGGCAUGUCAACCCUUCAGAAGAAACUAACUCUUUGAACAGAGUUUAUGUUUGGCAAGACUUUACCGCUGGGGGACACAGGAGAGAGAUGCUGUGGACAACUUGGGCCUAAGAACACAGGGCAAAGUGGCCAGGGCAUGGAAUUGCACAUGGGGCGACCCCUGCAGUUCAAGAUGGACUAGGGAUUUGGCAGCAUCGCAGACUUCACGGCAGACCCACUGCAUCUGAACAUGG
rnacentral:lncRNA from 1 species